rnacentral:sRNA from 1 species
GGGACUGAGGCAGCAUGGCUCAGGAGCUACUUAUCUUAUUCUCAACCCAGAAACUUCACUGUCCCCAAGGCCCCUCUGACUCAGCGGUGAAGCCAAGAAAUCUGGGAGCAAGAAAGAGAAAACUCCACCUGAAAAUACUCGGGACCAUAAUACUUGGGAUCAAACUGAGCUGGCUUACAGCUUCGCCAUGGGCUGCUGGCCCAAGAAUGGACUUCUAGACAUGAACAAGGGCCUCAGCCUGCAACACAUAGGCCGGCCCCACAGCGGCAUUGACGACUGCAAGAACAUUGCCAACAUCAUGAAGACACUCGCCUAUCGAG